rnacentral:rRNA from 1 species
AUUGAACGCUGGCGGCAGGCCUAACACAUGCAAGUCGAGCGGAUGAAGGGAGCUUGCUCCUGGAUUCAGCGGCGGACGGGUGAGUAAUGCCUAGGAAUCUGCCUGGUAGUGGGGGAUAACGUCCGGAAACGGGCGCUAAUACCGCAUACGUCCUGAGGGAGAAAGUGGGGGAUCCUCGGACCUCACGCUAUCAGAUGAGCCUAGGUCGGAUUAGCUAGUUGGUGGGGUAAAGGCCUACCAAGGCGACGAUCCGUACUGGUCUGAGAGGAUGAUCAGUCACACUGGAACUGAGACACGGUCCAGACUCCUACGGGAGGCAGCAGUGGGGAAUAUUGGACAAUGGGCGAAAGCCUGAUCCAGCCAUGCCGCGUGUGUGAAGAAGGUCUUCGGAUUGUAAAGCACUUUAAGUUGGGAGGAAGGGCAGUAAGUUAAUACCUUGCUGUUUUGACGUUACCAACAGAAUAAGCACCGGCUAACUUCGUG